rnacentral:sRNA from 1 species
UUUUUGUGGCUGGCUUGAGUGAUAUUCUUUUUUCCUUACCUUUUCAGUAACAAUUCUAGUUUCUGGUAGGCUUUUUAAUUAGUCAGUGAAGGAGGGAAAAGCCUUUUUUGGAUGAGUUGUGUAAACAGGAAGACCUGUUUGUUAUUGGCCUUUUGAUAAAUUAGUAGCUCAUGUUAACUUGUGCAAAAGCUUCUUGUAACUUCUUAGCAGAACAGGUUGAUGAGGCAAGUUUGCAUCAUCUGGGUUUUUUUGGGAAUGUUGUGUGACAAAGGGGAGGUAGAGUUGUUAGAACUGUGUGUAUUACAGUUUAAGCGUAAGGAAAAUAAUCUUUUGUUAUCUUAUACUGUUGUGGUUGUUUGUUUUUUUAGCCAGAAACAAUCUCAGCAUUCACUUCUGAUCCAGCACUUCUGUCAUUUGCUGAAUAUUUCUGCAAGCCAACUGUGAACAUGGGUCAGGUAUAUAUUCUAUGGUUUGCCGAGCCCCAGGACUAGAAUUUGUUAUUAUUUCUAUGCAUGGGUCACCCAAAACAUCUCUACUAUCUAUAUCUAUCUUUGAGAUUGAUGACAUGCGUCAGUCACAUUGGAUGACUUUUGCUUGGCACGUAUAGAUUUGCAUAGCCUAAAACUAUUAAAUUCAGCAACUUUCUACCUUGAUAGAAGAAACAACUUAAAAUUUAUAAGACAUCAGUUUUGACAGAUGAUAGUUUCUGUCAUCUACAAGAAUGAUACCCAUCCAUAUUCUGCUUUAUGUUUUCAGUGUUUACCACCUUUCUCUUAUUUUUAUGUAAUUUCAUUAACUGUUUCCUCUGUAUGUUAUAACCCUUCUUUUUAUUGUUCAUACACCUGUUACCUUCAAGAUUCCAAGGGUGCUUAGCAGAUUUUUCUUUAUUUUUUUGUUUUUUGUUUUUUGAGACAGGGUCGGUUUUUUCUGUUGCCCAGGCUGGAGUGCAGUGACGUGAUCAUGGCUCACUGCAUCCUUGACCUCCUGGAGUGAAGCCAUCCUUCCACCUCAGCCUCCUGAGUAGCUGGGACUACAGGCAUGUAGCCACCAUGCCUGGCUACUUUUUUAAAAAAAUUUUUUGUAGAGAUGGAGUCUCACUAUAUUGCCCAGGCUGGUCUUGAACUUCUGGGCUCAAAUGAUCCUCCCACCUUGGACUCCCAAAGUGCUGGGAUUAUAGGCAUGAGCCACUGUGCCUGGCCCAGAUCUUUGACUUAAUCCACCAUAGAGACAAGGAAAGAUUGGAUGCAUAUAUGGCCUUCAGAAAAUUUCUCAACCUCUCCAAAAUGUAGUUUCCUCAUUUCUAAAAGUGAUUAUAAUAGAACCUACCUUACAGUAUUGUUUUGAGGAUUAAGUGAAAUAACCUUCCCCUCUCUUUUUUAUUGAAUCUUUACUAUACAUGGGAUACUCUGCUAAUACUUAAAUGUCAUUUAAUUAUGACCCUGAGAAUAGAUAUUUUAUCAUUCUGGGCUUACAGAUGAGGAAACUGCCACUGAGAGAUGUCACAUGCCCAAGAUCACACAGCUAGUAAGAGCUGGGCUGUGCACUCCAGGUCACGGGUCUCUAAUAAAGCCCAUGCCCACCCUUAACCCCAGCUGGACUUGACUCUGCCGCCUCCCCUAAACUUGUUCUGGUCAGUGUUUUUUUUCUUGCAGCUUUGUUAACUCUGUUUCCUUUCUGGAUCCUACUCUUCCCAGCCCAACCCAAGGCAUAGCUCUGUGAUGUCCUAUCUACUCAUUUUGUCCUAGUUUGGUCCAUUCCUCUCUUCUGUAGCACUUACUAUCCUUAACUGUCUCUUGGGACUUAAUUUUUUUUUUUAUUAAUGUUUAAUGUUACAUGUGCUGUGGCUUUUUAAAAAAGAUUGUAGUGUUACUUUUAUGUCAUUCAUUAUAAAACUUAAGAAUGGGCCAUAGUAGUGCUAUACAAUUCGUUUUUGAAUUGAUUUUGGAAUAUACUUUGUGCUACAAAACUUCUGAUUUUCUGCAGAAACAGGAAAUUCUGGAUCUCUUUUCUUCAGUACUCUAUGAAUGUGUUACCCAGGAGACCCCAGAGAUGUUGCCUGCAUACAUAGCAAUGGAUCAGGCUAUAAGAAGACUUGGGAGAAGAGAAAUGUCUGAGACUUCUGAACUUUGGCAGAUAAAGUUGGUGUUAGAGUUUUUCAGCUCCCGAAGCCAUCAGGAGCGGCUGCAGAACCACCCUAAGCGGGGGCUCUUUAUGAACUCGGAAUUCCUCCCUGUUGUGAAGUGCACCAUUGAUAAUACCCUGGACCAGUGGCUACAAGUCGGGGGUGAUAUGUGUGUGCACGCCUACCUCAGCGGGCAGCCCUUGGAGGAAUCACAGCUGAGCAUGCUGGCCUGCUUCCUCGUCUACCACUCUGUGCCAGCUCCACGGCACCUGCCACCUAUAGGACUAGAAGGGAGCACAAGCUUUGCUGAACUGCUCUUCAAAUUUAAGCAGCUAAAAAUGCCAGUGCGAGCUUUGCUGAGAUUGGCUCCUUUGCUUCUUGGAAAUCCACAGCCAAUGGUGAUGUGACCGUGUCUGGCGGUGAACCUACCCUGAAACGUGACUUCUGCACAAAAAACGUGACCAAACAUCAAAGCUAAAGCAAUGUUUAUAAAGUUUUAUGGUAUAACUAGGGGGAAAUGAGCUGCACAAACCUUAAUGUAUUUUAAAUCUGUUGCUGUCAUCAUUAACGUUAUAUGAUAUAUAAAAGCAAGUUAAAAUUUACUUUUGUAAAUAAAGUUUUUGGUUUGUUUUC